UUUGAAUCUCAUAAGGUGAUGGGGAUUGGAAAUAAAUUGAGCUCCUCGACGAUGCCUCAUGCAGUCCCUCCAACGACGAUAGCUUAUAUAUCGUCGGUUGACUCAGAGUCAUCGGGAAAUGAGAUACACCAGGCCAUCGAUUCCAAUCUUGUAUAGGAGUGGAAAAAGGAAACAUUUGAGGGUUAGGAUACACACCUGACAUAAUUUGAAGGGGAUGUGGUGUGGGAAUCAUCGCUUGCGCCAUUAGGGUCGGUAAUUACGUGGGUGCUGUUGAUGGGCCCGCUUCGUCAGCCUUUAUCCUUUGAUUUAAAGGACUCCG
rnacentral:lncRNA from 1 species